CUCCGUAUGCAGCCAGGGCUGGCCCGGCAUUCUCUUUGUGGACAAGCUGGUCUCAAAUCCAGAGAGAUCCAUGUCCAGACUCACACGUGCACCUAGCACUGGACAAGAGAGCAACCCGGUGACCCAGUGCGUUAUGAGGAAAGAAUCGGCACCACGUACCAGUCCGGAUUUAUUGAAAAUGCGGCACUAAUUAAAAACUCACCCAGCCUCUUGAC